UAUAUUAACACUAAGAUAAACUCUUAAAUACAAGUACAUGUAUCUAAUGUAUUUUUUUGGCAUUGUAGGAAUUGAGUAAGGUGCAACGUGAACGUUCCUCAAAAAUUCAAUCCAGACAUCGAAGUGGUCGGAGUGGGAUGGUGAACGUACGGGAAGCUGUGAAAAAGGACCUCGAAGUUGCAGAUCCUCCCCGCCACCGUGUUUGGAUUAAAUCUCGCACCAAGAGUAGAAAACUUGUCACUGAUUACGACAAGGAAAUUGCCGAGAAGAUAGCUCAAUUAGAGGAGAAGCUUAGUCAGGGACAAAUUCAGGUCCAGGGCCAAAACGAUAUCCUCACGCAGGCGCUCGGGACACC